UACGUAGGUGUCCAGCGUUGUCCGGAUUUACUGGGCGUAAAGAGCGCGCAGGCGGUCGUUCAAGUCGAGUGUGAAAGCCCCCGGCUCAACUGGGGAGGGUCACUCGAUACUGAUCGACUUGAAGGCAGGAGAGGGAAGCGGAAUUCCCGGUGUAGUGGUGAAAUGCGUAGAUAUCGGGAGGAACACCAGUGGCGAAGGCGGCUUCCUGGCCUGUUCUUGACGCUGAGGCGCGAAAGCUAGGGGAGCAAACGGG
rnacentral:rRNA from 1 species